rnacentral:rRNA from 1 species
GUGGGGAAUCUUCCGCAAUGGACGAAAGUCUGACGGAGCGACGCCGCGUGAGUGAAGAAGGCCUUCGGGUCGUAAAGCUCUGUCAUCAGGGACGAACGGCCGGUGGAGUGGAAAGCCACCGGAUUGACGGUACCUGAGAAGGAAGCCACGGCUAACUACGUGCCAGCAGCCGCGGUAAUACGUAGGUGGCAAGCGUUGUCCGGAAUUAUUGGGCGUAAAGCGCGCGCAGGUGGGAUCUUAAGUCCAUUUUGAAAGUUCGGAGCUCAACUCCGUGAUGGGAUGGAAACUGGGAUUCUUGAGUACCGGAGAGGAAAGCGGAAUUCCCCGUGUAGCGGUGAAAUGCGUAGAUAUGGGGAGGAACACCAGUGGCGAAGGCGGCUCACUGGCUCGAUACUGACGCUGAGGUGCGAAAGCGUGGGGAGCAAACAGGAUUAGAAACCCCUGUAGUCC